rnacentral:rRNA from 1 species
GACGAACGCUGGCGGCGUGCUUAACACAUGCAAGUCGAACGAUGAAGCUGGAGCUUGCUCUGGCGGAUUAGUGGCGAACGGGUGAGUAACACGUGAGAAAUCUGCCCUUGACUCUGGGAUAACUGCGGGAAACUGUAGCUAAUACCGGAUACUUUCCCUGGUGGGCAUCCACUGGGGAAGAAAGAAUUUCGGUCAAGGAUGAUCUCGCGGCCUAUCAGCUUGUUGGUGAGGUAAUGGCUCACCAAGGCGACGACGGGUAGCCGGCCUGAGAGGGUGACCGGCCACACUGGGACUGAGACACGGCCCAGACUCCUACGGGAGGCAGCAGUGGGGAAUAUUGCACAAUGGGCGCAAGCCUGAUGCAGCGACGCCUCGUGAGGGACGAAGGUCUUCGGAUUGUAAACCUCUUUCAGCAGGGACGAAGCGAAAGUGACGGUACCUGCAGAAGAAGCACCGGCUAACUAUGUGCCAGCCGCCGCCGUAA